rnacentral:rRNA from 1 species
UACGUAGGUGGCGAGCGUUGUCCGGAUUUAUUGGGCGUAAAGCGAGCGCAGGUGGUUUAUUAAGUCUGGUGUAAAAGGCAGUGGCUCAACCAUUGUAUGCAUUGGAAACUGGUAGACUUGAGUGCAGGAGAGGAGAGUGGAGUUCCAUGUGUAGCGGUGAAAUGCGUAGAUAUAUGGAGGAACACCGGUGGCGAAAGCGGCUCUCUGGCCUGUAACUGACACUGAGGCUCGAAAGCGUGGGGAGCAAACAGG